UCUUGAAGUGGCCGGCUCACCUCAUUCCUGCCAAGACCCAGGUCCGUGUUCUCACAGUGCUGCCAUCUUUCCUCCGUGUGAGCGUGGGCUGUGCGGAGAGUGGACCUCGGUGUGUGCGGGGCUGCGUGCACUGCCAUCGCUCCCUCUACACGAGCCGGCGUGGACCCAGGGCUGAGCUGUGACCACGAGGGCCAUCCCGACGAGCCGCCAUGGACCCAGGGCUGAGCUGUGACCAUGAGGGCUAUCCCGACGAGCUGCCGUGGACCCAGGGCUGAGCCGUGACCAUGAGGGCCAUCCCGAAACUGUGAUUGUUUUCUGAUGAAGAAACCAAGGCUUUGUGACUAACUCAACCCCUCAAGAAGGACAAAACUAGCAUCAGAGCCCCUUGCUCCUGGGUCUGGCAAGAAUGCCUCUUGUUUGCUGAGAGGUCCACAGAUUUACCCGGCUCAAGACUGGGAGAUGGGAGGUGACCAGGGUCUCGGUCUGUCGCCCAGGCUGAGUGCAGUGGUGUGAUCUUGGCUCACUGCAACCUCCACCUCCUGGGCACAAGCAAUCCUCCUGCCUCAGCCUCCUGGAUAGCUCAGACUACAGGGGUGUGCCACCAUACCCAGCUCAUUCUUUUGUAUUUUUAGUAGAGACAGAGUUUUGCCAUGUUGCCCAGGCUGGUCUCAAACUCCUGGGCUCAAGUGAUCCACCCGCCUUGGCCUCCCACAGGGCUGGGAUUACAGGAGUGAACUCCCAUGCCUGGCCCUCAUGAUCCUUUGUAGACUGAGGGACAAAAGAAGAGGGUGAGGCCUCCCCUCUCCUCAGCGCUGAGUGCAAGGACCCUCAAGGCAACUCUUGGCAAAGCCCCAUGUUUCCACUGGCUGUUUAGGUGGAAUUGCGUCCCCCCGCUUCCGUAUGUUGAAGUCCUAAUUUUCGGGCCCUCCGCUUGUGACCAUAUUUGGAAGUAGAGGCUUUGCAGAUGUCAUGAGUUAAGAUGGGGGCCUCCUGGAGCAGGGCAACAUGACUGUAUCCUCAUAAGAAGAGGAGAGACAGAAACAGACACACACAGGGAGAUGCCACGGGACUCCCAAAGCCACAAGAAAGCCUGGAACAGCCCCGCCCUCACAGCCUCUGAAGGAACCAGCCCUGCCUUCACCUGGAUCUGGGACUUCCAGCCUCCAGGACUGGGGGAGAAUGAAACUCUGUUGUUUCGGCCACUCAGGCUGGGGUGCUUUGUUAUGGCAGCUGAGUGGGUGCCUCCCUCUCUGGGGACGGCCAAUCCCUGUAGGGGAGGCAGUGGUCCCGGUCCAGGAAGGUGAGAGAGGCUUUCUCAGUGUCUUCACUUCGCCAGCUCACGUGGAGACUGGUAGCGGCUGGAGCCCAAGCUCUUCUGGGGAGCCGGUUUACUCAAGGUCACCCUUGAUCCAGCGGAGCCCAAGGUCUAGGUCAAGCUUCCUCUGGGAUGUCCCCAAGGCUCUUCAAACAGGUGUCGUCAAGCCAUCUGCCCAAGGGCCCGUCAGCACCUGGCAGGUGUUAGCCAGGCUGAUCUGCAGGCGGGGCUGCCCCGAGUGGGGCUCCCACUGCCCGGGUUGGGACUGGAGCAGCCAAGUGGCUGAGCAACAAGGUGCUUCAUGUGUGGUCCCUGUGAGCCCCCCUGAAUAGUCUCAUGGACAGACGGAUGGACGGGAGGCUCAGUGGGCUCUGGGAGCAAGGGGAGCGCUUGCCGCUCUCCACGUGGCUCCAUUCCAGGACCAGGACAAUGAUGUCUUCCUGUCUGCAGCCAGAAGCAGGGCAGCUGACAGCGGCCCAGCCCUCCUGAGGGACAGGUGUCCGCUCCCAGAAACCUCCCUUCCACCUGCCCCUGGGGUUGAGCUGGAGAGGCUGAGACAUGCUGGGAAGAGGAGGACCAGCCCAGUGGGCGGCCGCCCAACAGCUCGGCGGUGAGAAGAGGCCACGUGUAAGAAGGAAACGCCACCACCCCACUGGAUGGUGGGAGCAGGACUCCAGGGAGGGGGGUCUUGAGUGUAGGCAACCAUGUCGAUUUGGCACAGUGUCUCAACAGGGCAGGGCAAGGGUCUGGGAUUCCAGUUCACGGAUGCCCCAGGUACCAUGGGUGGACAGAGGCCCAGACCCUCUGCAAGACAGCAGUGAUCAUGUCAGACCCUCGCAGCGCUUGAGGGCUGCAGCAGGAGCCCUGAGUCCUCUGUUCUGACCAGGCAGCAGGGAGGACUCGCUGCCCCCAGCUGCACAACGCCUGCCCCGGCCUUGGUCUUGGCCCUCUACCCGGCACCAGCUGGAGCCUCUUGGCCAUUCCUCUGUGCCAUGGGACACUCUCCCACUCCUGCGCUGGCUUCUGCCCACAGUGGCGCCCCUGCUCACCCACUGGCAGUGUCCCCACCUCUCAGAAGAGUUUUUCACAGUGGCAGGCCCUGACCCAGAGUCUCCUGCCUACUUGGUGGCUAAAGGCCCCAGGCGAUCCCCAAAUCCUGCUGUCUCAGGGAGUUUCUCAGAGUCCCACCUCCUCCACAGAACCAGGGGAUUGGCCAAGACUCAAAGCUUCGAAGAACGGAACAUGCAGGUGUGCAGAGACCAUUUAUUACCCCACGGCUGUUAUUGCCUGGGAAGCUGAGUGCCCUGAGACCCCAGCCCCCUGAGGCUCUGACCGGGACAAAUCCCACAGGCACUCCGCCUCAUCCCAACACACCCAAAUCACCAAUCGUGGGCUCUCCCAGUCCUGCCCCAUCUCCCGGAGAGUCUAGUGAGGUGGGGAGGGCACGUGUGUGUACAUGUUUGAGUGUGUGUGCACAUGCACAUAGACGUGUGACAUGGGGCAGCUCGUCCCAGACCCCAAACCAAAGGCUGGCGGGGGCUGGCUGAGAGGUAGUUGUGCCUACUGAGGAAGGGCCACAGGGCGGUGCUCACUAUAAGUCAGAACUGUUCAUUUCUGCUGCAAUGGAACUAGGCAGCCUUGCCAGCCAUCCGGCGGCAGUGCCGGCCCAUGCUGGCGGCCACCUCCCCGAGGCUCUGACUCUUGGAAGGGUAGCCCCGGAGACCUGGCCGUGUCGAAAUGGAACCAUGGCUCUUGUUCUGAUGAAAGCCUUCCCCGGGAGAGGAGUCUCCUCUGAGUGGGCUCCGCGCGGUGGGAUGCCUGGGGGAGUGUCCUCCGGCCCAGUGGCCCCCGCUGGACUUCUUUGGUUCUGAUUGGACGCAGAUGUGGAGGACGCACCAAGUGUGAGGCCAGGCCCCGCCCUCCCAGACUCCUGGCUCCUCUGGGGGCAGGAGGGACGCCAGCUCUCCCGGUGAGGACCAUCCCUCCUACCUGCGCCGACCACGUGCCUCUCAGGGGCCCGGGCAGCAGCCAGACUCCUCAUGCCGCGCCAGGAGGGACAUGCGGGAGAAGGUCUUGGUGCAGCGCCGGCACCGGUACUUCUUGGCGUCUGAGUGCGUUUGCAGAUGGGCCCGAAGGUUGGAGCGGUCGGCAAAGGCCCUGCUGCAGUGCGAGCAGGCAUAGGGCUUCUCCCCUGUGGGAGGAAGGCGGCGGCCAGUGACACCAUGGAAGAUGGAGUGAAGGCUAAAGCACCCACCCUGCCCAUCAAUGGAUACUCCCAUCCCUUCCCCACAAAUGCUCACAGCCAGAGCACCCAAGGUUGAGCUGUGUGGGGACGGGGUGGCACGCCACAUCACCUGAAGCCCCUCCCAGGAGCACAGGCAGCCACAGGUGCUAGAUCUCCUAGUGUUGCUGCAGUAGCCCUCCCGGGGCCCUUGGCCACUGGGAGAGGACGGGAGAAGCACUGGGGGCCUCUGGCAGCUGUUUCUGGCCACUCACAGGCAAGUGGGGGGGUCUGGCCAGCUCCAGCAGAAUCCAGGGCAGGGGCAGAGCUGUGGACCUUGAGGAGGCAGAAUUUAGGAACCACCUCCCAUCAGGACAACAGGGGAUCUGGACAAAGUCCUGCUGGGACCUUGGCCCAACACCUGUAAAGGGAAGUGUGACUGGGAAUCGUUUGUUCAUUCCUGUAGCCCCAUAGAGUCCUGAGAGACCUCAGCCUGCAGCCCCUGAGGGGCCCAGAGCACCUGCAUUCCUGCUGGUGGGACACUGGGCAUGCUCCUGGCCAGGCCAGCCUCCCGCAGGGCCUCCCCACACUCCUCACUCCCAGGCUGAGGGCACCAAGCCCCAGGGCCCUUUGGCACGGAAAGGGGGUGUGUGGGGGGUGUCGUCAUCAAAGAGUUGAGAAAAACCAGAAAGGAUUUCCCAGAGACCUGGAAAAGGCCUUCCCUCUGGCCUGCACCCAGGUGUGACUCAGAGGGUCCCAGUCACAAAAGUCAUGACUUAGGGGGUAGGGAACCUCCAGUUAGAAAAAGUAUGAACUAGCAGGCCGGGCGCAGUGGCUCACACCUGUAAUCCCAGCACUUUGGGAGGCCGAGGCGGGUGGAUCACGAGGUCAGGAGAUCGAGACCAUCCUGGCUAACAUGGUGAAAACCCCAUCUCUACUAA
rnacentral:lncRNA from 1 species